AGACCUGAGUGAGGAGGACCAGGGACAUUAUACUUGUGUUGUUGACGAACGCUACCAAACACAUAUUUCUCUCCUGGUCAAAGCAAACACAUUGACAACUAAAUCAACUCCUGGAAAACAAACACCAGCAACUAAGGAAAAAGAUGAUAAAAGCAGAGGUGGAACAACAUCACCCCUCUGCAUUGCAAGUUUCAUUUCUGUACUUUUGUUACUGCUGCUUUUGGGAGGACUUGCAUUCACCUUCUGGAGAUAUAAAGGACAGAGAGAGAGGCAGAUGGGGAAUGACAACAGACAAAGAAGGGGCACAGACCAAGAACGUGAUAUGUCGGCCACAUCAACAUAUGAAGUUCUUAAGCAUCGUUACAAUGCAGAACAGAUGUACUCGACCGUUGGGCAGAACGCUGGAGUGCAGGUUAAUGAUCAUGAUGGUGAUCAGAUUGAUCAAUCUGCAUGAGGCACCAGAGGAUUGCUGCAUCUCAACUGCCCAUCAGCGUCACUUACAUUGCACUGUCACAUGUUCAAUUCCUACCCGGCUUGUUAUAAUUUUAGAUGUCUUGCUUUACACAGCCCUAUGUUAAAUGCUCAUGUUAAACUAUUAAAUUAAAUAUGCAGAUGUAGUUACAUACAACAUAUUAAACCUGUUUUUGUACCAAGGCCAUCACUUGUGUACUAUUCUUCUCUGCAUUUUGCAGUUUCACACAGGAUGAGGAUUUGAAGUGUGAUUGUUCUUUAAAAACAAAUAUCUACUGAUUACAUGCAAAUCAAGAUAUGCAAGUCAAGGAGGGACUUUUUGUAUGUCUGUUGUCGUUUACAAAGUCUGCUUGUUAACUUUCAUAUCU
ensembl:lncRNA